rnacentral:rRNA from 1 species
AAUGAACGCUGGCGGCGUGCUUAACACAUGCAAGUCGAACGAGAAAGCGAACUUCGGUUCGUGAGUAGAGUGGCGCACGGGUGAGUAAUACGUAGAUAAUCUACCUUUGAAUUUGGGAUAACAUCGCGAAAGUGGUGCUAAUACCGGAUAAUAUUUAUAAGACUUCGGUUUUGUAAAUCAAAGAUGGCCAGUUCAUGAAAGCUAUUGUUUGAAGAUGAGUCUACGCACCAUUAGCUUGUUGGUGGGGUAAAAGCCUACCAAGGCGACGAUGGUUAGCUGGUCUGAGAGGAUGAUCAGCCACACUGGAACUGACACACGGUCCAGACUCCUACGGGAGGCAGCAGUGAGGAAUUUUGCGCAAUGGGGGAAACCCUGACGCAGCAACGCCGCGUGAGUGAUGAAGGCUCUUGGGUCGUAAAACUCUGUCAGUAGGGAAGAAAUUAUAUAUGGUUAAUACCCAUAUGUAUUGACGGUACCUACAAAGAAGCACCGCUAACU